UACAGAGGGCGCGAGCGUUGUCCGGAAUCACUGGGCGUAAAGGGCGCGUAGGUGGCCACUAUAAGGCCGCGGUGAAAGUUCGGGGCUCAACCCUGAAUCUGCCGCGGCGACUGUAGGGCUUGGGCACCGUAGAGGCAGAUGGAAUUCCGGGUGUAGCGGUGGAAUGCGUAGAUAUCGAGAAGAACACUUAGGGCGAAGGCAAGACUCUGGACAAAUGCUGACGCUCAUGCACGAAGGCUAGGGUAGCGAACGGG
rnacentral:rRNA from 1 species